CGUCGUCUGAGCGACGUUUAAAUAGAACUUAAGCUCAGAGCGUUCCCCACUCUAGGGUGGGGAGGUGGCG
rnacentral:ribozyme from 1 species